rnacentral:lncRNA from 1 species
AUUCAGGGCCCAGCUCUGAAGUCGGAGGACAGUCAUGGUUCUAAUGCUCUCACUCAAGUCCAGGCCAGAGGUGAGGAAGAAAACGAGGAAGGAUGAAGGAAUAUUUCAGAAAUGGAAUUGGUGAGAUUUGGAGCAUCAUAAGGAACAGUAAGUGGCCUGUGCUGGUGGAUGGGAGAGGAGGAGGAAGCAGCUGCCAUCCUGUAUUUUCUGAAAGAUUUGAAGAAAAGGCAGCCAAGUUCACAUUUUGCUGAAGUCACAUCACUGAUCACUGUCCAGCCAUCCUAACCUAUCCGCUGCUGAGCUGGCUGCCAGCAGAUCUUUCCAGCAGCCCCGGGCAAGCACACACACAUAAGAGAGAAGCCUGAGUUUUAUGGUUUAGCAUCCAUGUCACCCAUAAGAAAUGCUUGUUCUGACUUUAGUCUCAGCACUAAGGAGGAAACAAUCACUCAAAUGCCAGGUUUCCCUUUGCACUGGAGGCCUGAGGAAGUCAAUAAGAAAGAAAGUCAAUAAGGUAGCCAAUAAGAAAACCUGGGCACCAUGGCAGGCACCUGUGGUCCUAUGGCCCCAGCACUUGGGGAGGCCAAGGCAAGAGGGUUGCUUGAGGCCAGGAGUUUGAGGCUGCAGGGAGCUAUGAUUGUGCCACUGCACUCCAGUCUGGGCAAUGUAGCAAGAUCCCAUCUCAAAAAAAAAAAAAGAAGAAAUUUGGUUUCACCUGCUUCACUGAGGCGAGGAAGUGAAGAGGUGAGAAGGGGAGUGUUAAACAGCCAACCCUACUGAAAAGGAAUUCCACAUGUCAAAGAAAAACAAACGCUGCACCACUUUGACAAGUAUUUCCAGUUAUUUACUCAAGAAAUCUUUUGAUUGAACAUUAGAUGGCAGAUGGCACAUCACAAAUAGUGAUAUAAGAUCCUUUUUACCAUCUGAAAUGUUCUCAGACAGAACAUAUUUUAUUCAACCAAAUGAGGAAAAUCUGCAAACACAAAUUAAUGUAAGUACAACCAGCUAUCUCUGGCUUCAGUAUUUGAAAAUGGUGAAAGCAUCUGUAGGGUCACUUUGGGUUCGGGGUCUGGAAAGGAUGUUCCUAGACAGGGAAAGAGCAGGGAAGAGCUUUCCUUCCCUCCCCCUAAUCUCCUAGGGGAUGUUUCUGUCUGUGUUAGCUUCCCAGGGCUGCUGUGACAAAAUACUAUACACCACUUAUUUUCUCACAGCUCUGGAGUCUGGAAGGCCCAUCUCAAGGUGUCUGCAGGCCAUGCUCCCUCGGGAGCCUUGGGAGGCUCCUCCCUGCCACGCUCAGCCUCUGGUGCCCCAGUGCUCCCUGGCUCAUGGCUGCUCCGCUGGCUGCUGCCUUGUCUCUGUGUGUCUGUCUUCUGCUCUCUUGAUAGGGACACCGGUUUUCUUGGGUUAAGGCCCACCCUAGUGACCUCAUCUUAACCUGAUGACAUCAGCAAAGAUCCUGAUUCCGAAGGUCACAUUCACAGGCGGGGGCGAGGGGGGGCGGGGUGAGGGCUUCAGAGAAUCUUCUCGGAGACAUAGUUAGAGCUGUAAUGCGUCCCCCGAGCUAUAAUGCGUCCCCCGAGCUAUAACGCGUCCCCCGAGCUAUAACGCGUCCCCCAAGGUACCCGCUGCCUCUGUUUAUUCCCGGCAGCCUCCACCACCGGCCCAGGGAGUUCAAUUGUGUAGGAAAAGCAAGGGGUCUACCUUUACCCUGAGCUACGAUCGGGGUCUUUUGAAAAAGGCUGCCCUUUAAGUGUAGCCCUGGACAGUGAUAAAGAAUGGCCACUGGACAAUGUCAGUGGCCUCUGAGGGCAGGAGGGGCCUCUUGGGCCCCCUGGGCAUCUUCAGUGACUCCCCUCAUGUCCAUCGCAGAGCCGGGGGAGACCUGGCUGGAACCACCCAUUUCAGAGGCUCUGAGAUCCCAGAGCCCACCCCUGAUUUUGGCACCUUUCCAGCCCCUUCUUCCUGACUCUGUCUCCCCCUGGGUCAUCACAGUCUCUAGUGUACCCCAGGCCAAUCAGACCCAAAUGCAGAACUCAGCCCCCUUCCCCUCUGCAUCCAAACAGAAAGUCCCCUCAAACCUUCAGCGUGCCAGGUGAAGGGUCUUAGGGCCUGAGAGGUUUCCGGAAGCAGUUAUGUCCAGAACUGUGAGCCCCUGCCUUCCCCAG